rnacentral:lncRNA from 1 species
AAAAAGCAUGUUUACACAUGUAGGAAUUAACCCACUAUUAAAAGUGUAACCUUACCUGCAAUUCCACAAUAAAGCCACGAGGGGGCGCCAUCACACCACGACUGGUGGAACUGUUGUGCCACCUCUCCCCCACAAGUAGACACCCUAUAGGCAAACGCAUCAUAUAUUACGCUUUUUUACACACCUCCCAGCAAUGCAGCCGUCACCAGCAUCGCACCAACUGGCACUGGAACACACGUUGAAGAAGGCAGAGAAGGCGGCCCUAGACAAACACGGAUUACAAUCGCUGCCGGUGAAGAAAGUGACGCGCACCCUGCUGAGGGCCGGCUCUGAGUUCUCGCGGACUACAAAGACCUGGUCCAGGUGCUGCAACAGAGACAGGGAGCAACACAUCCGUCACCAGCAUCGCACGGACCGGCACGGGUCCACACGUUGAAGGAGGCAGAGAAGGCGGCCCUAGACAAACAGGGAUUACAAUCGCUGCCGGUGAAGAAAGUGACGCGCACCCUGCUGAGGGCCGGCUCUGGGUUCUCGCGGACUACAAAGACCUGGUCCAGGUGCUGCAACAGAGACAGGGAGGUAAGACUGGGCUUCAUCUAUACUGGGCAACUUUCUGUAUUGUCUUUCAGUGUUGAUGUGAUUGUGUAUGUUGUUGUCUCUACCACUCCGAAUAGUUGAGCCCAACAUUGUGCUACUUACUGAUAUUUAUUAAUACUAUUUAAAAAAGAAAAAGGAAAAAAAAAGGUGAAAAAUGGUAAGUUUGCAGAAUAGAUUUGAUGUUUGAGUGCAACAAAGGGACAUGAUGGCAGCAAGCAGUCUUAAAAUGGACACACACACGGGGAUUACAAUCUCUUCUGGUGAACAAACCGACAUGCACCUGGCGAGGGAAAGCCCUGGGUUCUCGAGGAUUACAAAAACCUCCAGGCGCUGCAGCAGAGACUGGGGGGUAAGACUGGGGUCCUUCUGUACCGGGCGACCUUUCUGUAUUGUCUCUCACUGUUGAUGUGAUUGCAGACAGCAAUCAACCUAAUUUUAAAAUUUCAAUGCCACCUGCAAUUUCACAAUGAAGCCGCGUGGGGAGAGUCAUCACACCACAACCAAGCAACUGAAACACGCUCUGACUGUUGAUGUGGUUGUAUAUAGUACACUGCCUAAAGGCGUGUUAGACAGGUGAAUAAAUAACCCAAUUUUAAAAAUAAAACCA